rnacentral:rRNA from 1 species
UACGUAGGGCGCAAGCGUUAUCCGGAAUUAUUGGGCGUAAAGAGCUCGUAGGCGGUUUGUCGCGUCUGCCGUGAAAGUCCGGGGCUCAACUCCGGAUCUGCGGUGGGUACGGGCAGGCUAGAGUGCAGUAGGGGAGACUGGAAUUCCUGGUGUAGCGGUGAAAUGCGCAGAUAUCAGGAGGAACACCGAUGGCGAAGGCAGGUCUCUGGGUUGUAACUGACGCUGAGGAGCGAAAGCAUGGGGAGCGAACAGG